GUUGACCUCGGAUCAGGUAGGAAUACCCGCUGAACUUAAGCAUAUCAAUAAGCGGAGGAAAAGAAACCAACAGGGAUUGCCCCAGUAACGGCGAGUGAAGCGGCAACAGCUCAAAUUUGAAAUCUGGCCCCCGGGUCCGAGUUGUAAUUUGUAGAGGAUGCUUUUGGCGAGGUGCCUUCCGAGUUCCCUGGAACGGGACGCCAUAGAGGGUGAGAGCCCCGUCUGGUCGGACACCGAGCCUCUGUAAAGCCUCCUUCGACGAGUCGAGUAGUUUGGGAAUGCUGCUCAAAAUGGGAGGUAUAUGUCUCCUAAAGCUAAAUAUUGGCCAGAGACCGAUAGCGCACAAGUAGAGUGAUCGAAAGAUGAAAAGCACUUUGAAAAGAGGGUUAAAAAGUACGUGAAAUUGUUGAAAGGGAAGCGCCUAUGACCAGACUUGGGCCCGGUGAAUCACCCAGCGUUCUCGCUGGUGCACUUCGCCGGGCACAGGCCAGCAUCAGUUUGGCGCGGGGGAGAAAGGCUUCGGGAAUGUGGCUCCCCCGGGAGUGUUAUAGCCCGUUGCGCAAUACCCUGCGCUGGACUGAGGUACGCGCAUUCGCAAGGAUGCUGGCGUAAUGGUCAUCAGCGACCCGUCUUGAAACACGGACCAAGGAGUCGUCUUCGUAUGCGAGUGUUCGGGUGUCAAACCCCUACGCGUAAUGAAAGUGAACGCAGGUGAGAGCUUCGGCGCAUCAUCGACCGAUCCUGAUGUUCUCGGAUGGAUUUGAGUAAGAGCAUACGGGGCCGGACCCGAAAGAAGGUGAACUAUGCCUGUAUAGGGUGAAGCCAGAGGAAACUCUGGUGGAGGCUCGCAGCGGUUCUGACGUGCGAAUCGAUCGUCAAAUAUGGGCAUGGGGGCGAAAGACUAAUCGAACCUUCUAGUAGCUGGUUUCCGCCGAAGUUUCCCUCAGGAUAGCAGUGUUGAACUCAGUUUUAUGAGGUAAAGCGAA
rnacentral:rRNA from 1 species